rnacentral:rRNA from 1 species
UACGUAGGGUGCGAGCGUUAAUCGGAAUUACUGGGCGUAAAGCGUGCGCAGGCGGUUUUGUAAGCCAGAUGUGAAAGCCCCGGGCUCAACCUGGGAAUGGCAUUUGGGACUGCAAGGCUUGAGUGCGGCAGAGGAGACUGGAAUUCCUGGUGUAGCAGUGAAAUGCGUAGAUAUCGGAAGGAACACCAGUGGCGAGAGCGGCUUCCUGGUCCAGCACCGACGUUCAGGCACGAAAGCGUGGGGAGCAAACAGG